rnacentral:rRNA from 1 species
UAACUGUAAACGAAUGCGGACUUGGUGUUGGGUGGCUUUGAGCUGCUUCAGUGCCGAAGGGAAGCUGUUAAGUCCGCCGCCUGGGAAGUACGGUCGCAAGACUGAAACUUAAAGGAAUUGGCGGGGGAGGCACCACAACACGUGGAGCCUGCGGUUUAAUUUGGAUUCAACGCCGGACAUCUCACCAGAGGCGACAGCUGUAUGAUAGCCAGGUUGAUGACUUUGCUUGACUAGCUGAGAGGUGGUGCAUGGCGUCAGUGACU